CCGGGUGGCAUUUACAGUGCGGUCCUACCUGAUCCCAUCCCGAACUCAGCAGUAAAACGCGCUCGUGCCGAUGAUAGUCUGGUGCAUGCCAGUGCAAAAGUAGGUAGCUGCCCUUU
rnacentral:rRNA from 1 species